UAUCACCCCCCACCCCCAACUCAGGAGCUGGCUCUGGAGGCAAGAUUGCUGCUUUUGUGCAGUAUCUGAACUAAUAUCCCUUCUAACCCCAUAUUGCUCAAGUCUGAUGUCUCUGUGCCGGUCGUUUGCCUACAGCCUGGACAGACCAUUUUUACAGGAAGAUGAGUUUUCAAGAGCUUUCGAGUGGGGACUGUCCUGCAGAAGGAGGCUUUUGUGCUCUAUGAGAAGCUGCAAACACUAUCAUUCCCACAAGAAGCCUGUAAUAUCAGGUCUGACUUUAGCGACAAUGAAUGCUAGAGGACUAACGUUAAACAAGUGUAUCCUUAUUCAUUGACAUGACUUGUAAGCAACAGAGGGGAGCUGGAGUAACUGAGCAAAAACAUCAGUAAUUAUGCCUGUUCUGGAAGCUGGUGUUUGCAAUGUUCUUCUGUGCUGCCAGGCAACUGGCGCUGCUGAUGGACCGGUGCUGUGUCCCACUCUUGGCUAACAGAGCAUUUAAAGAGUUCAAGUUUAGAAGUCAGAUGAUUUGAUGAAACGCCAAGUAGUACCCCAAAGAGGCUAGUGCUGAUGGAUCUCAGUCUGAACGGGAUAUUCUGGUGAGAAGAUAAGGUGCCUGUGAGGUUUGAGAUACCAAGUUGCGUCUUAGACCAAGAUAAGCAAGCAAGGCUGCAGCGCCUGCGUGGCAAAUUAAUGUGCAUUUUGUAUCAAGAGAAACUAAAUCAGGUGGAUUCAAAAUCUUGGAAGACAGCAUGACACAGGAGACAAGGAAGAAGGGAAAAUAGAUUAAGACCUCCUUAGCUUUACAUUAUUCCUGCAAGAUACCUUAGAUACUGGAGAAGGCAGCAAGUCAGUUAUGUAUGCUGUCCUCUUAAAAGUCAAACAUUGCAAAUGGUAUCCAAGGUGUUUAACGGUGACAGCAUCCAGUUUGCUGCUCUGGCUUGUGAAGGCUGCUCCCUCAAACAAACGUCACAUCAAACAGGCGUCAUAUUCUGAGGCACUUUGCCUGUCUCAGCUUCUUGGUAGAUAAGCAAGAAACUCAUUGAACCCAGUUCAAAUACUAGUUUGCUGUGACCUCCCCAGACAUGGUGAUGCUCAGCAUUUCUCUCUCUCAGACCUCCUCUUCAAGGUGAGACAACUUCUCAGCAUUCCGGAGUACCAACCUGCCACUGCAGACAGAUCUUACCUGCUUACAGUAGGAAAGAAGGUAGCACUUAAGCAAGAGACAUCUCAUGCCAUGUUCCCCAAACCUUGCAUGUGGAAAUUGCUCCCUUACAACCAAAAAUCUCCAUCUGUGUGAACAAGUUGAUCACCCUGGGAUUCUUGUGAUGGUGGCACUCUUUCUCAUGUCUGUGGAGGAAUGUCAUUCUCCUCUCUACCAUCGUACAAAGGCUUUGCUGUAGACUUGACUCAUGCAAGUUCUGGGCUCCAUGCUGAGAUCCCUAGAAGAGGUCCAAGCAGCUGUCAGCUAUCCCACUUUCCCUUCUGCUGGGAAGUCUGGUAAUGGUUCCAGGAGCCUCUGGCAGAGGAAAAGUGAAGGUGCAGAUUUGGUCCUACCCUGCGUACUAAGUGGAGGAGAGAUAUGAACAUACUAGAGUGAAAGGUCUCCAAGCUUAAGCACAUAUGCUGUCUCAUGUGCAAGAGGACAUCGCACCCUGAGCACCUCCAAUGACUUGACAACACACCUCUAAAACUCUUCUGUGUCUGUAUAGUGGUAUCAAGUCAAAUUUAGAACUUCAAAAAUCUCACAUAUCAAAUUCUCAGUUACAGUUCAGUGAUCUGAUUUUCUUUAAGACUUGAACAGUAAAUACUGCAUCUCCUGAGCAGUUCACCUUGAUCUGUUGAAUUUUGUUGUGAUUGAUAUGACUGCAGUAUAAAAUUAGAUAUUCCUGUUAUAGUACUCUCUAACCCUUCAGCACUUGGCCUUGUAUUCUUCUUUGAAUGGAGAACAGCAACUUGAAAAUAAGGCAAAGUAAAUGUUUAAUACACCUUACUUUUUAUUGCCUCAAAUUUUACUUUCCAGUUGAAUAUUUCUUUCUACACUGCUUUUCAAAAUUUUGCAUCACCAGUAGAGUACCUAUCUUCUUGUAAUUUGUUCUAAUCUAUGAAAAAAUGUCCAUAUAUUCCAGAGAUUUUCUGUAUUAGUCCAUAGUACAAUAUAUUUAUAUUGGAAGUGCAGUACAUUAUUAUUUUUAAUAAGUCCUUCUAACUGAUCUACUCCUCCCCAUCAUCAACAUCAGUAUCAUAUUUAUGAAUUUUGUCUCUAAACUUGAGAUAGAUCUCUCAGUCCCUAUGCCUUAAUAGGAAAGAGGGAAGGUUUCCAUGUAGAGUGAUUCCUUAUGUACAGAGAUGAUCAGGAUGAUUCAAGUGAAUCAACUGGGAUUUCCUAGAAUAGAACUGUGUGUGUGGAUUUAGUUUAUGAGAAACUGUGCACACAAAUAUUAUAGUUUAAUAUUCAUAUAAAAUAUACUUUAUAGCAUUGGUAGAAUUAUUCUUCUCCCUGUUGCCAAAAAAAAAAAAAAAAAAAAAAAAAAAAGUAGAACUUUCUAUUUGUGGAAAUAAUGCCCUUUAAAAUUUGUCUGUAUUUUGGAAUGAUGGGAUACGUUACAUCCUUUCUACACUGUAAUAUAUUGAUUUUUAAGUAGUCUUGAACAAAUUCAAUAACUUGUGCAGUGUCAUAUUGCUUUAAUUGUGUGAAUUCUUAUUGACAUGUAGUGAAUAAAAAUAAAGCUUUUUUUUAAACUCAUUACCAGAAUCCCAUCCCAUCUCUCUCAGGAGGGACAGGUUAGAGCUAGCUCAGCUAUAUCUAUAAAUGGCUUUACUGACAUCUUGAUAUUUAGUAAUGGACAUUUUAAUAUUAGAGAGUGCAGAUUCAUUUCUGUGCCCAGUUCAGCAUUCUUCUUUUCUGGGGAUCGUUUGUCUUCUGCUUUUUUUUUUAUACUGUUUGAAAGUCUGUAUCUCCUCAAACACAUCUCUGAUUCCAAGGGUCAAACUGUGGACUGUUAGGUACCUUGUGCAAUUUUGUUAAAAUGGUUUUGCAUAAGAAGUAUUUUAAUAGAAAAUAAAGCCUUGCCAUUGCUUUUAAA